GACGAACGCUGGCGGCGUGCUUAACACAUGCAAGUCGAACGGAAAGGCCCUGCUUUUGUGGGGUGCUCGAGUGGCGAACGGGUGAGUAACACGUGAGUAACCUGCCCUUGACUUUGGGAUAACUUCAGGAAACUGGGGCUAAUACCGGAUAGGAGCUCCUGCUGCAUGGUGGGGGUUGGAAAGUUUCGGCGGUUGGGGAUGGACUCGCGGCUUAUCAGCUUGUUGGUGGGGUAGUGGCUUACCAAGGCUUUGACGGGUAGCCGGCCUGAGAGGGUGACCGGCCACAUUGGGACUGAGAUACGGCCCAGACUCCUACGGGAGGCAGCAGUGGGGAAUAUUGCACAAUGGGCGGAAGCCUGAUGCAGCAACGCCGCGUGCGGGAUGACGGCCUUCGGGUUGUAAACCGCUUUCGCCUGUGACGAAGCGUGAGUGACGGUAAUGGGUAAAGAAGCACCGGCUAACUACGUGCCAGCAGCCGCGGUGAUACGUAGGGUGCGAGCGUUGUCCGGAUUUAUUGGGCGUAAAGGGCUCGUAGGUGGUUGAUCGCGUCGGAAGUGUAAUCUUGGGGCUUAACCCUGAGCGUGCUUUCGAUACGGGUUGACUUGAGGAAGGUAGGGGAGAAUGGAAUUCCUGGUGGAGCGGUGGAAUGCGCAGAUAUCAGGAGGAACACCAGUGGCGAAGGCGGUUCUCUGGGCCUUUCCUGACGCUGAGGAGCGAAAGCGUGGGGAGCGAACAGGCUUAGAUACCCUGGUAGUCCACGCUGUAAACGGUGGGUACUAGGUGUGGGGUCCAUUCCACGGGUUCCGUGCCGUAGCUAACGCUUUAAGUACCCCGCCUGGGGAGUACGGCCGCAAGGCUAAAACUCAAAGGAAUUGACGGGGCCCCGCACAAGCGGCGGAGCAUGCGGAUUAAUUCGAUGCAACGCGUAGAACCUUACCUGGGUUUGACAUGGAUCGGGAGUGCUCAGAGAUGGGUGUGCCUCUUUUGGGGUCGGUUCACAGGUGGUGCAUGGCUGUCGUCAGCUCGUGUCGUGAGAUGUUGGGUUAAGUCCCGCAACGAGCGCAACCCUUGUUCACUGUUGCCAGCACGUUAUGGUGGGGACUCAGUGGAGACCGCCGGGGUCAACUCGGAGGAAGGUGGGGAUGACGUCAAGUCAUCAUGCCCCUUAUGUCCAGGGCUUCACGCAUGCUACAAUGGCUGGUACAGAGAGUGGCGAGCCUGUGAGGGUGAGCGAAUCUCGGAAAGCCGGCCUCAGUUCGGAUUGGGGUCUGCAACUCGACCUCAUGAAGUCGGAGUCGCUAGCAAUCGCAGAUCAGCAACGCUGCGGUGAAUACGUUCCCGGGGCU
rnacentral:rRNA from 1 species